rnacentral:rRNA from 1 species
CCUACGGGAGGCAGCAGUGGGGAAUAUUGCGCAAUGGGCGAAAGCCUGACGCAGCGACGUCGCGUGAGGGACGAAGGUCUUCGGAUUGUAAACCUCUUUCAGCAGGGAUGAAGCGAAAGUGACAGUACCUGCAGAAGAAGCACCGGCUAACUACGUGCCAGCAGCCGCGGUAAUA